rnacentral:tRNA from 1 species
GCUCUCGUGGCGCAACAGUUAGCGCGUAUGUCUUAUACACAGCGGGUUGCAGGUGCAAGUCCUGCCGAGAGUA